AACUAAAAAUAAAAUAAAAUUCAGUGGGCUUUGAAUGAGUAUGUACAGUUGGCCCAUAUCUCACAUCUGAAAAGGGCUAUUCAUCAAACGAAAUCAGAGUAAAAGUUUUGAACUUGUUGAACGGCUGCGGCAGUUACAGGGUAAUCAAAGCCCCUUCCUUGAAGACAAUUUUCUCCAUAACAAUGUUUUUUGGUAUCAAGAGAGAGUGAAGCCUUUUUUAAUAAAAGCAAUUUCAUAUUCCAAGAUUCGAACUGAUCAAAACCUUUGAUUAAAGAUGAAGUAGUUAUCACCGUCCUCCACAACCUUUGUUGGUGAGAUUCUACCUUAGCUAUCACUUGACGAGUGAUUCAAUUCCAGUAUUAAUUUUAUAGCAUCUACUCUGUCGCUAUUAAUUUUAUACUGUCUACUCUGUCACUUGACAUAGCCAGCACAUGUUAUUACAAUAAGCAUUUCCUUCUUAAUUUUUGGGUGAUCAGUUUUAUGGCUACUGCACAUGUUAUUAUUUAUUUUUUAGUUAUAUGAUAUUCCAUUGGAGAUAGAUAAAAUAUUGUAUAUUAUCAACUUAUGUAAAUUGAUCAUAAGAAACUAUUUCUUUACAUUUUUCUUCGUUAUUCAUCACCUUUUCUGU